rnacentral:rRNA from 1 species
CCGCCGGCGACCGGCGCACGGGUGCGCACCGCGUAUGGAACCUGCCUUGUACAGGGGAAUAGCCCAGGGAAACUUGGAUUAAUGCCCCGUAGUACCGUAUUUCGGCAUCGUUAUACGGUUAAAGCCUUCGGGCGGUACAAGAUGGCCAUGCGUCCCAUUAGCUUGUUGGUAAGGUAACGGCUUACCAAGGCUACGAUGGGUAGGGGCCCUGAGAGGGGGAUCCCCCACACUGGUACUGAGACACGGACCAGACUCCUACGGGAGGCAGCAGUGAGGAAUAUUGGACAAUGGAGGGGACUCUGAUCCAGCCAUGCCGCGUGCAGGAAGAAUGCCCUAUGGGUAGUAAACUGCUUUUAUACGGGAAGAAAAAGAGCUACGUGUAGCUGACUGACGGUACCGUAAGAAUAAGGACCGGCUAACUCCGUGCCAGCAGCCGCGGUAAUACGGAGGGUCCGAGCGUUAUCCGGAAUUAUUGGGUUUAAAGGGUCCGUAGGCGGGCCGAUAAGUCAGGGGUGAAAGUCUGCCGCUCAACGGUAGAACUGCCUUUGAUACUGUCGGUCUUGAGUUAUAGUGAAGUUGCCGGAAUAUGUAGUGUAGCGGUGAAAUGCAUAGAUAUUACAUAGAACACCGAUUGCGAAGGCAGGUGACUAACUAUAUACUGACGCUGAUGGACGAAAGCGUGGGGAGCGAACAGGAUUAGAUACCCUGGUAGUCCACGCCGUAAACGAUGGAUACUAGCUGUCCGGGGCCUUGAGUUCUGGGCGGCCAAGCGAAAGUGAUAAGUAUCCCACCUGGGGAGUACGUUCGCAAGAAUGAAACUCAAAGGAAUUGACGGGGGCCCGCACAAGCGGUGGAGCAUGUGGUUUAAUUCGAUGAUACGCGAGGAACCUUACCAGGGCUUAAAUGCAUAUUGACAGGGUCAGAGAUGACUUUUCCUUCGGGCAAUUUGCAAGGUGCUGCAUGGUUGUCGUCAGCUCGUGCCGUGAGGUGUCAGGUU